UACAGAGGGUGCAAGCGUUAAUCGGAUUUACUGGGCGUAAAGGGUGUGUAGGUGGCUGUUCAAGUCGGUUGUGAAAUCCCUGGGCUCAACCUGGGAAUUGCUUCCGAGACUGAGCGGCUCGAGUACGGUAGAGGGCGGUGGAAUUUCCGGUGUAGCGGUGAAAUGCGUAGAUAUCGGAAGGAACACCAAUGGCGAAGGCAGCCGCCUGGGCCUGUACUGACACUGAAACACGAAAGCGUGGGGAUCAAAC
rnacentral:rRNA from 1 species